AUGCACAUGUGCACACACAUACAUUUAUAUGUAUUUUUAUUUGUGUAUUUAUAUAUGUUUCCCAUGUUUAUUUUAGUAUCUCUAAAUAUCAUCCUUGCUCUAACUGCGCAUCCAGAAUUAUCAGUUGCUUGUAGGAAAGCAUGGAGCUGGGUCUGUGGCCCCAUCUUUCCCUGUCCACGUGUGCUAGAAACCCCCUGUAAGCAGGCCCCGUGGUUGCUUGUUCUGUCUCCAUUUAUGCCAGGCCACUGAUUGUGCUUUUGGUAUCACAGAUUUGGGAAUGUGAACAAGUGAGUAGAAAACCCUGUUUCUAAGCCACUAAAAUGUUCACAUGUAUCGACAUGAUGAAGGGAAAGGAAGAAGCGAGUUUUGCCUCCAGCUCUGAUGAUGGUGGGAUCUGUGGCUGCUCUGGGGCAUUUUAGGGGGAGCAGGGGAGAUGCACCCUGAAGUCUGGAUCUGUCUCUAGGGGAAAUCCUGCUGCCCAGACUUGCUUUGCAGGUGCUGAACUGCAUGCUGCCUUGGCAAAUAGG